GAUGAACGCUGGCGGCGUGCCUAAUACAUGCAAGUCGAACGAAACUUCUUUAUCACCGAGUGCUUGCACUCACCGAUAAAGAGUUGAGUGGCGAACGGGUGAGUAACACGUGGGCAACCUGCCCAAAAGAGGGGGAUAACACUUGGAAACAGGUGCUAAUACCGCAUAACCAUAGUUACCGCAUGGUAACUCUGUAAAAGGUGGCUAUACUACCGCUUUUGGAUGGGCCCGCGGCGCAUUAGCUAGUUGGUAGGGUAAAGGCUUACCAAGGCAAUGAUGCGUAGCCGAAUUGAGAGGUUGAUCGGCCACAUUGGGACUGAGACACGGCCCAAACUCCUACGGGAGGCAGCAGUAGGGAAUCUUCCACAAUGGGCGAAAGCCUGAUGGAGCAACGCCGCGUGGGUGAAGAAGGUCUUCGGAUCGUAAAACCCUGUUGUUAGAGAAGAAAGUGCGUGAGAGUAACUGUUCACGUUUCGACGGUAUCUAACCAGAAAGCCACUGCUAACUACGUG
rnacentral:rRNA from 1 species